rnacentral:rRNA from 1 species
AGUGAACGCUGGCGGUAGGCCUAACACAUGCAAGUCGAACGGCAGCACAGUAAGAGCUUGCUCUUACGGGUGGCGAGUGGCGGACGGGUGAGGAAUACAUCGGAAUCUACUUUUUCGUGGGGGAUAACGUAGGGAAACUUACGCUAAUACCGCAUACGACCUACGGGUGAAAGCAGGGGAUCUUCGGACCUUGCGCGAUUGAAUGAGCCGAUGUCGGAUUAGCUAGUUGGCGGGGUAAAGGUCCACCAAGGCGACGAUCCGUAGCUGGUCUGAGAGGAUGAUCAGCCACACUAGAACUGAGACACGGUCCAGACUCCUACGGGAGGCAGCAGUGGGGAAUAUUGGACAAUGGGCGCAAGCCUGAUCCAGCCAUACCGCGUGGGUGAAGAAGGCCUUCGGGUUGUAAAGCCCUUUUGUUGGGAAAGAAAAGCAGCAGGUUAAUACCCCGCUGUUCUGACGGUACCCAAAGAAUAAGCACCGGCUAACUUCGUG